rnacentral:piRNA from 1 species
UAAGACAGGCCUAAACUACACAACAUG